rnacentral:rRNA from 1 species
GAUCAUGGCUCAGGAUGAACGCUGGCGGCGUGCUUAACACAUGCAAGUCGAACGGGAAACUUUUCAUUGAAGCUUCGGCAGAUUUGGUCUGUUUCUAGUGGCGGACGGGUGAGUAACGCGUGGGUAACCUGCCUUAUACAGGGGGAGUAACAACCAGAAAUGGUUGCUAAUACCGCAUAAGCGCACAGGACCGCAUGGUCCGGUGUGAAAAACCCCGGUACGGUAUAAGAUGGACCCGCCGUUGGAUUAGCUAGUUGG